GCCUGAUCACUUCCGAAAAGACACAUGCACAUUUGCAAUGCUUCCAUAACAGCUGUUCAAGGUCUGAAGGAUGUCAAAUAAAUGCUGUAAGAGGAGUUGAUUACAAAAAAUAGGUACCAUCUAUUCAGGAAAUGCUUAAAAAAAAUGACAAAGUUCAACUAAAUGUAAUUUUUUUGAAAAAAGUCUGACCACUUUCAAAUAGACACAUGCACAUCUUCAAUGUGUCCAUAACUACUGUACAAAGUUUGAGGAAUAUCAAUUUAGAUGUGCACGAGUUGAUCACACAAAAUAGGUACCAUCUAUUCAAGAAAUGCAUAAAAAUGACAAAGUUCAACUACACAUAUUUUUUUUUUAAAAAGUCUUAUCAUUUUCAAAAAGAUGCAUGCACAUUUUCAAUGUGUUCAUAACAACUGUACAAAGUUUAAGGAAUGUCAAGUUAGAGGUGCAUGAGGAUUUGAUUACACAAAAUAGUUACCAUCUAUUCAAGAAAUGCUUUAAAAUGACUAAGUUCAACUACAUAUAUUUUUUUUUUAAAUGUCUGAUCACUUUCAAAAACACAUAUUCACAUCUUCAAUGUGUUCAUAACAAAUGUACACAGUUUGAGGAAUGUCAAGUUAGAGGUAUACAAGGAGUUGAUUACACAAAAUAGAUACUGUCGAUUAAAGAAAUGCUUUAAAAAUGACGAAGUUUAACUACAUGUAAUUUUUUUCAAAAAAUGUCUGAUCACUUUGAAAAAGGCACAUGCACAUCUUCAAUGUAUCCCUAACAACUGCACAAAGUUUGAGGAACAUCAAGUGAGAGGUGUGAAAGGAGUUGACUACACAAAGUAGGUACUAUUACAGGGACACUACUGUCGCUUGCCCACCAGUCAUUCACCAUUUUAUAAAAUGUUUGCACAUUGUGCAACCCGACCAAAAAUAUAAAAUAUAAUUAUAACAAGAUGUGAGAGAAAACUUAAAGAAACUGCAACAACUUCUAAUCUACAAAUAUUGCAUUGUGCAAUGUUAGAGAGUACAUUUUAUUUGGAAACUGCUGCAUAAAGAAUUUCUUUCAAGAUCCAAGAGAAAAAUAUCAACCCACAGUGGCACUUUUCUGGCAUAAGGUCAGGUUGUGAUUUAAAUAGAUUUGUGAAUUUUGUCCGUUUUAGAUCAAUCAUGUCAAAUGAAAGCUUUUAGAAAAUAAAAUCCUUCUUAAACUAGCAAGUGCUAUAUAAAUGAUGAUAUAAAUGCUAGAAUUGUGUAUACAAUUAAGACAAAGGAGUUGACAUGAUCUUAUGUACAUGUAAUUAAGAAGGAGGUCUAUCAUUUGCAUAACAUGACUAUGUGCAUCAAUAACAACAGGUUUCGACAACAUUUGCAGACAAGAAUGAAAUAUAUUCAAAAUUCACACAUGUAAACUAUGCACUUUUCCUCAGAAAAAUCUGGAGACAAUCUACAUUAAUUUUAAAAUCAGUACUGUGAAGGACUUCAUAUUCUGAUAAAUUAAUACAGACUUGUGGGCACUUAAUUAUUAGGGAGAACACUGUAAACAUUUACACAAGUUUCUCCAUCAUAGAUGAACGGGAGAAUAAUAGGACUAUCUCCAUGCUGUCUGCACCUUAGAAUCAAAAACAUGAUUGAAUUCUGGACCUUCUUCUAAUCUUCCACUUGUUCAGUACUUGGUCAUCACAAUCACAUAUUGUCCGCAACAGCUCUACUGUCCCAUCCAUUUGUUGUGAUAAACUGUAAAUAGUUUUUCGGUUAAGACAGAGUGCCUUUACUCACAAAUACAUGUAGCAGUCUCAUCAGAUUCACUUGGCAAGUGUGUAUAAAUUUAAAUGUCAUUCUUUUUUUAAAAACUAAAUAUUACUACGUAACUUCAUUAGUGUUUUAUACACAUUAAUCCAGGCCUGCAUGUUGGAACUCUCAGAUAUGGCAAGUUGAAGACAGCCUAUCAACAAACCAUCACAACUUCGGAAUCUGCACGACUAUCAUGAAAUAUAUUCUGAAAAAGAUAUAAAAUUUUAAAUAAUUAUGAGAUAUCAUUGGCCCUCCUAUAUACAAGUUUGCACGGCAUCUAACAUAGGAGGAAUCAUUCUGGGGUGUUUACAUGUAAUUACCGACACCUGGGGCCACCGAUUUUCAAAGCCAAGCAAUAAUCAAUGUUGCGUUACAGCCCAUUGGGCUAAUACAUGCACUAUCUGAUGUACAACUGUUAAUAUCACGCUGACCCGACUUUACGUACAAAUUAACUUUAUUGCCAAGACAAGAUCUUCAAUCCAUUUUAAUAACGUAUAUGCAUUGAUGCAGUGACAAAAUUGAGAUUCCAGAGGUCACAUCCCUGAUCAUAAUGCAGUUUAAUUUUUCUAGCUGGACAUCUGGGUUCAAAUCAUAAGUAUUUGAAUAAAAAAAAUAAUCAACCAUUCAUUAAAAAACACCAUUUACUUAAUAAACUAAUUCAGUUUUGCAAAUAUCACCCCGAGUAGAAAGUAAACAAAAAAUAGCAUAAGUAUUACGGAAAUAGACCUAAUUAUUUGUUUGUUUUUCGGCCUUUCCCCCUCUCUCCAUUUUUUUUAAAAGUGCCUAUAUGGUCCUGUUCAAAUGUAUAAGAAGAAAAAAAAAUCCGCGAGGGCUACGAUAAUGCAACUAGAAGGAGUCUAAUCUCAUAGAAAGGAAAUUUUAAAAAAAAAUUUAUUCCACAUAAUUUCAAAGAAUUGAAUGAAGCAUGUAAAUUUAUGAACGUAAACACUGGCUUGCAAGAUUUGACGCAACAACAUACAAUAUAAGCGAUGGUCAGUUUCGUUUUGAACAACAUAUUAGAGAGUUUAUAACUAUAAGAUACACAGUAAUUCACUUACUCAAUGACUGGAAGAUUCUCC